GGUGGCUCAGUGGUAGAGUACUUGCCUUGCAUGCAAGAGGCCCUGGGUUCAAUUCCUCAGCACCA
rnacentral:tRNA from 1 species